GACGAAGGGGGCUAGCGUUGGUUCGGAAUUACUGGGCGUAAAGCGUGCGCAGGCGGCUUCUCAAGUCAGGGGUGAAAGCCCAGAGCUCAACUCUGGAAUUGCCUUUGAGACUGAGUGGCUUGAGUACGAGAGAGGUGAGUGGAAUUCCCAGUGUAGAGGUGAAAUUCGUAGAUAUUGGGAAGAACACCGGUGGCGAAGGCGGCUCACUGGCUCGGUAACUGACGCUCAUGCACGACAGCGUGGGGAUCAAACAGG
rnacentral:rRNA from 1 species